AUGGACAUCGAUCUCAACGUUCCAGCGGAUGAUGUCCCGGAAGAGCCGGUGCCGACGUGGGGAGAAUGCCCGCAGCUGUACCUCUCGUACAGCAUCGCCACUCGCAACGACCGGCUCCCGUUCCUGAAGGACGCCAUCGCCGCCGUGAAGUCGUUCACGGUGCUGUCCCCGCCGUUGGGACUCGAUUUUUUCGGGGUCUUCGACGGGAUCUUGGGCGCCAAGUUCGUGGAGCACAUGGAAGAGCGGCUGCACGGCGCCAUCGCCAAGGAGAUAGAGCGGGACCUGCGCGCCGACUCCCCGCGGGCUCGGGGCGACAUCGUGGGCUGGUGGAGGGUGAUCAUUGAGGAAGCUUUCCGCGUGGUGGACAACGAGGUGGUCGCUGGUGGCCGUGGUGGCAUCGAUGCUCCUGCGCGCGUCGCCUCCGGGGCCCUCGCCGUGCUGGUUCUAGAGGACUACUUCGUGCUCGCCAACCGCGGCGCUUCUAGGGCCGUGAUCUACCGCGGCUCUGAGGCUGUGCCGCUCACCCGUGAGCACACGCCUAUGCCACAAAAUGCAGGAGGUGAUGUGGUUGGAUCUACCAGCAGAGUUGAAGACGUUAUGCCUCCUCACGCUUUUUUUGGUAGCUCAAAGAUUAUGGCUACUGCCCCAGAACCUGAGGUCGUCGCAGUGAAGCGGAAGCCACGGGACAAGUUCCUGAUCCUGGCCACCCGCGGGCUGUGGGACUUCGUCACUCCAGGCGACGCGUGCGCCUUCAUCGAGAAAAGAUUGAGCGAGUACGCGCAGCAGAUCAUCAUGUCGUCAGGCAAGAAGCCAACAAACAGCAGCGGCCCUCCCUGUGCCAACAUACUCGCCAAUGAGUUGGCCGCACAUGCGAUCAGCAAGGGCACCAAGCACAACGUGAACAUCGUCGUCAUACUGCUCAAGAAUUUCUGGGACCAGAGUUUUCCCUCAACUUGUAAGAAGUGA
rnacentral:rRNA from 1 species